rnacentral:lncRNA from 1 species
CAAACCACCUGCCAUAUGAUGAGGGAGGUGAAAGCCAGGAUCUUAGAAAAUCAAGCAGAGUAGUGUGCCAGGGUCAUACUCCUCAUGGCAUCAGCUGGGGCUUCAGUUAUGCAACCCAUUUCACCCUCCCUAAAAAGUUAACUGGCAGACAUGAUCUUCAUAGUUCAUCUGAGGAUCUGGUUCUGGUGUUAGUGAGGGCAAACUACUGAGUAGCCUCAGUGAGACGACGGAGUAUCCCUCUAGGCAGUUUUGUAGAAAACAUCUCCUUCCAAAAUGACUGCAUAAAAACUCCU